rnacentral:rRNA from 1 species
AUCGUACCCCAAACCGACACAGGUGGUCAGGUAGAGAAUACCAAGGCGCUUGAGAGAACUCGGGUGAAGGAACUAGGCAAAAUGGUGCCGUAACUUCGGGAGAAGGCACGCUGAUAUGUAGGUGAAGCGGUUUACCCGUGGAGCUGAAAUCAGUCGAAGAUACCAGCUGGCUGCAACUGUUUAUUAAAAACACAGCACUGUGCAAACACGAAAGUGGACGUAUACGGUGUGACGCCUGCCCGGUGCCGGAAGGUUAAUUGAUGGG